rnacentral:rRNA from 1 species
UGGGGAAUUUUGGACAAUGGGGGCAACCCUGAUCCAGCAAUGCCGCGUGAGUGAAGAAGGCCUUCGGGUUGUAAAGCNCUUUUGUCCGGGAAGAAAUCCUCUUGGUUAAUACCUGGGGAGGGAUGACGGUACUGGAAGAAUAAGCACCGGCUAACUACGUGCCAGCAGCCGCGGUAAUACGUAGGGUGCAAGCGUUAAUCGGAAUUACUGGGCGUAAAGCGUGCGCAGGCGGUUGUGCAAGACCGAUGUGAAAUCCCCGGGCUUAACCUGGGAACUGCAUUGGUGACUGCACGGCUAGAGUGUGUCAGAGGGGGGUAGAAUUCCACGUNUAGGCAGUGAAAUGCGUAGAGAUGUGGAGGAAUACCGAUGGCGAAGGCAGCCCCCUGGGAUAACACUGACGCUCAUGCACGAAAGCGUGGGGAGCAAACAGGAUUAGAUACCCUGGUAGUCCACGCCCUAAACGAUGUCAACUAGUUGUCGGGUCUUAAAUUGACUUGGUAACGCAGCUAACGCGUGAAGUUGACCGCCU